AGGAAGGCCUUCGGGUUGUAAACCCCUGUUGCCCGGGACGAAUGUGCAUUUUUGAGUGCAUUGACGGUACCGGGUGAGGAAGCACCGGCUAACUCCGUGC
rnacentral:rRNA from 1 species